UACGUAGGUGGCGAACGUUAUCCGGAAUUAUUGGGCGUAAAGGGUGCGUAGAUGGCCUGAUAAGUUAGCAGUGGGAAAUCGAGGCUCAACCCCGAGCGGUCGUGAGAAACUGGCAGGCUAGAGUGCGGGAGAGGAGAGUGGAAUUCCUGGUGUAGCGGUGAAAUGCGCAGAUAUCAGGAAGAACACCCGUGGCGAAGGCGGCUCUCUGGAACGCAACUGACGCUGAGACGCGAAAGCGUGGGGAGCAAACAGG
rnacentral:rRNA from 1 species